GGGGGGGCCUAAAUGCAAGUCGAGCGAGCUUGCCUAGAUGAUUUUAGUGCUUGCACUAAAUGAAACUAGAUACAAGCGAGCGGCGGACGGGUGAGUAACACGUGGGUAACCUGCCCAACAGACUGGGAUAACACCUGGAAACAGAUGCUAAUACCGGAUAACAACACUAGACGCAUGUCUAGAGUUUGAAAGAUGGUUCUGCUAUCACUCUUGGAUGGACCUGCGGUGCAUUAGCUAGUUGGUAAGGUAACGGCUUACCAAGGCAAUGAUGCAUAGCCGAGUUGAGAGACUGAUCGGCCACAUUGGGACUGAGACACGGCCCAAACUCCUACGGGAGGCAGCAGUAGGGAAUCUUCCACAAUGGACGAAAGUCUGAUGGAGCAACGCCGCGUGAGUGAAGAAGGGUUUCGGCUCGUAAAGCUCUGUUGGUAGUGAAGAAAGAUAGAGGUAGUAACUGGCCUUUAUUUGACGGUAAUUACUUAGAAAGUCACGGCUAACUACGUGCCAGCAGCCGCGGUAAUACGUAGGUGGCAAGCGUUGUCCGGAUUUAUUGGGCAUAAAGCGAGUGCAGGCGGUUCAAUAAGUCUGAUGUGAAAGCCUUCGGCUCAACCGGAGAAUUGCAUCAGAAACUGUUGAACUUGAGUGCAGAAGAGGAGAGUGGAACUCCAUGUGUAGCGGUGGAAUGCGUAGAUAUAUGGAAGAACACCAGUGGCGAAGGCGGCUCUCUGGUCUGCAACUGACGCUGAGGCUCGAAAGCAUGGGUAGCGAACAGGAUUAGAUACCCUGGUAGUCCAUGCCGUAAACGAUGAGUGCUAAGUGUUGGGAGGUUUCCGCCUCUCAGUGCUGCAGC
rnacentral:rRNA from 1 species